UUGGAGGGCAAGUCUGGUGCCAGCAGCCGCGGUAAUUCCAGCUCCAAUAGCGUAUAUUAAAGUUGUUGCAGUUAAAAAGCUCGUAGUUGAAUUUUAGGCCUGGCCAGGCGGUCCGUCUUUGGCGAGUACUGUCUUGUUGUCGGGUCUUCCUUCUGGUGAACCAGUAUGUCCUUUAUUGGGUGUGUUGGGGAGCCAGGACCAUUACCUUGAAAAAAUUAGAGUGCUUAAAGCAGGCUAUCGCCUGAAUACAUUAGCAUGGAAUAAUGAAAUAGGACGGCAUGGUUCUAUUUUGUUGGUUUCUAGGAUCACCGUAAUGAUUAAUAGGGAUAGUUGGGGGCAUUAGUAUUCAAUUGUCAGAGGUGAAAUUCUUGGAUUUAUUGAAGACUAACUUCUGCGAAAGCAUUUGCCAAGGAUGUUUUCAUUAAUCAAGAACGAAAGUUAGGGGAUCGAAGACGAUCAGAUACCGUCGUAGUCUUAACCAUAAACUAUGCCGACUAGGGAUCGGACGAUGUUAAUUUUUUAAUGACUCGUUCGGCGCCUUACGGGAAAC
rnacentral:rRNA from 1 species